UACGGGGGGGGCAAGCGUUGUUCGGAAUUACUGGGCGUAAAGGGCUCGUAGGCGGCCAACUAAGUCGGACGUGAAAUCCCUCGGCUUAACCGGGGAACUGCGUCCGAUACUGGAUGGCUUGAGUUUGGGAGAGGGAUGCGGAAUUCCAGGUGUAGCGGUGAAAUGCGUAGAUAUCAGGAGGAACACCUAUGGCGAAGGCAGCUCUCUGGUACGUGACUGACGCUGAGACGCGAAAGCGUGGGUAGCAAACAGG
rnacentral:rRNA from 1 species